AUCCUCCACAGUAAUCCAGCUGAUUGGUUUCCCUUCAGGUCCCAGUCCACCAUGUUGGUUUCCCUUCAGGUCCCAGUCCGCCAUGUUGGUUUCCCUUCAGGUCCCAGUCCGCCAUGUUGGUUUCCCUUCAGGUCCCAGUCCGCCAUGUUGGUUUCCCUUCAGGUCCCAGUCCGCCAUGUUGGUUUCCCUUCAGGUCCCAGUCCGCCAUGUUGGUUUCCCUUCAGGUCCCAGUCCACCAUGUUGGUUUCCCUUCAGGUCCCAGUCCACCAUGUUGGUUUCCCUUCAGGUCCCAGUCCACCAUGUUGGUUUCCCUUCAGGUCCCAGUCCACCAUGUUGGUUUCCCUUCAGGUCCCAGUCCACCAUGUUGGUUUCCCUUCAGGUCCCAGUCCACCAUGUUGGUUUCCCUUCAGGUCCCAGUCCACCAUGUUGGUUUCCCUUCAGGUCCCAGUCCACCAUGUUGGUUUCCCUUCAGGUCCCAGUCCACCAUGUUGGUUUCCCUUCAGGUCCCAGUCCACCAUGUUGGUUUCCCUUCAGGUCCCAGUCCACCAUGUUGGUUUCCCUUCAGGUCCCAGUCCACCAUGUUGGUUUCCCUUCAGGUCCCAGUCCGCCAUGUUGGUUUGUGGGAUGUGUCACAUAUGAGGGCUGUGUCUGUGUGACACUGGCAAGGGUUAUCUAGUGCACACCGACAUGUCCCUGAUGAGGAGUGACAGGGCGGUGGUCUGGUCUACUGGUCUGGUACAGACACAAACACACAGACAUGUCCCUGAUGAGGAGUGACAGGGCGGUGGUCUGGUCUACUGGUCUGGUACAGACACAAACACACAGACAUGUCCCUGAUGAGGAGUGACAGGGCGGUGGUCUGGUCUACUGGUCUGGUACAGAUACAAACACACAGACAUGUCCCUGAUGAGAAGUGACAGGGCGGUGGUCUGGUCUCCUGGUUCGGUACAUACACACAAAACCCCAACAACUGGCUCCAAGCUCUGAUUGGCUCCAGCCAGCUGGUGGAGGCUUUGGUUAUGACCUCGGGUGUGUGACCUUGUGUACUCUCCAUCUACCAUCUCUCAUCUCUCCAUCUCCAGGAAAACUGACAGCAGAUGUUCUCUAGGAAGGCUUGUGGGGGUCACUAGGGGUGACAUGUAUCUAUCUAUAUUACCCCCCCCCACCCCCCCACCAGCACCUCUCACCCCCGACCCCCUCCCCUACCAGUAUUGUAGUCUCUAUCUGUCUC